rnacentral:rRNA from 1 species
CGUGGAGCGAUUUGUCUGGUUUAUUCCGAUAACGAGCGAGACUCUGGCCUACUAAAUAGUCCACACAUUGCUUCUGUGUUGUGGUACUUCUUAGAGGGAUUAUCGGUGUUCAGCCGCAAGAAAUUGAGCAAUAACAGGUCUGUGAUGCCCUUAGAUGUCCGGGGCUGCACGCGCGCUACACUGGCGAAAUCAGCGUGCUUAUCCUUCCUCGAAAGGGGUUGGUAAACCAAUGAAAAUUUGCCGUGAUUGGGAUCGGAAAUUGCAAUUAUUUUCCGUGAACGAGGAAUUCCAAGUAAAUGCGAGUCAUCAACUCGCGUUGAAUACGUCCCUGCCCUUUGUAC